AUUGAACGCUGGCGGCAGGCUUAACACAUGCAAGUCGAGCGGGGGAAGGUAGCUUGCUACUGGACCUAGCGGCGGACGGGUGAGUAAUGCAUAGGAAUCUGCCUAUUAGUGGGGGACAACAUCUCGAAAGGGAUGCUAAUACCGCAUACGUCCUACGGGAGAAAGCAGGGGAUCUUCGGACCUUGCGCUAAUAGAUGAGCCGAAGUCGGAUUAGCUAGUGGUGGGGUAAAGGCCUACCAAGGCGACGAUCUGUAGCGGGUCUGAGAGGAUGAUCCGCCACACUGGGACUGAGACACGGCCCAGACUCCUACGGGAGGCAGCAGUGGGGAAUAUUGGACAAUGGGGGGAACCCUGAUCCAGCCAUGCCGCGUGUGUGAAGAAGGCCUUAUGGUAGUAAAGCACUUUAAGCGAGGAGGAGGCUACUCUAGUUAAUACCUAGGGAUAGUGGACGUUACUCGCAGAAUAAGCACCGGCUAACUCUGUGCCAGCCGCCGCGGUAA
rnacentral:rRNA from 1 species